ACGAACGCUGGCGGCGUGCUUAACACAUGCAAGUCGAGCGGUAAGGCUCCUUCGGGAGUACACGAGCGGCGAACGGGUGAGUAACACGUGAGCAAUCUGCCCUUCACUUUGGGAUAACCUCCGGAAACGGUGGCUAAUACCGAAUAUGACCACUUCACGCAUGUGAUGGUGGUGGAAAGUUCUGGCGGUGGAGGAUGAGCUCGCGGCCUAUCAGCUUGUUGGUGAGGUAAUGGCUCACCAAGGCUUCGACGGGUAGCCGGCCUGAGAGGGUGACCGGCCACACUGGGACUGAGACACGGCCCAGACUCCUACGGGAGGCAGCAGUGGGGAAUAUUGGACAAUGGGCGAAAGCCUGAUCCAGCAACGCCGCGUGAGGGAUGACGGCCUUCGGGUUGUAAACCUCUUUCAGUACCGACGAAGCGAAAGUGACGGUAGGUACAGAAGAAGGACCGGCCAACUACGU
rnacentral:rRNA from 1 species